rnacentral:rRNA from 1 species
GACGAACGCUGGCGGCGUGCCUAAUACAUGCAAGUCGAACGCAGUGGGGACGGGUGAGUAACACGUGGGUAACCUCCCAUCAGAGGGGAUAACACUUGGUAACAGGUGCUAAACUGAUACUGAUGGAUGGACCCGCGGUGCAUUAGCUAGUUGGGGAGGUAACGGCGCACCAGGGCCACGAUUCAUAGCGGGCCUGAGAGGGGGAGCGGCAAAACGGGAACUGGGACACGGCCAAGACGCCUACGGGAGGAAGCGGUGGGGAAUCUUCGGCAAUGGACGAAAGUCUGACCGGGAAACGCGGGGGGAGGGAAGAAGGUUUUCGGAUGUUAAAACUCUGUUGUUAGAGAAGCGGUAUCUAACCAGAAAGCCACGGCUAACUACGUGCCAGCAGCCGCGGUAAUAC